rnacentral:rRNA from 1 species
UACAGAGGUCCCAAGCGUUGUUCGGAUUCACUGGGCGUAAAGGGUGCGUAGGCGGUCGUGUAAGUCUGAUGUGAAAUCUCACAGCUUAACUGUGAAACUGCAUUGGAUACUAUCCGGCUCGAGGAAUGGAGGGGAGACUGGAAUACUUGGUGUAGCAGUGAAAUGCGUAGAUAUCAAGUGGAACACCAGUGGCGAAGGCGAGUCUCUGGACAUUUCCUGACGCUGAGGCACGAAAGCCAGGGGAGCAAUCGGG